GAUUAACGCUAGCGGCAGGCCUAAUACAUGCAAGUCGAGGGGCAGCAGGGUGUAGCAAUACAUCGCUGGCGACCGGCGCACGGGUGCGUAACACGUAUGCAACCUACCUUUAACUGGGGAAUAGCCCUCCGAAAGGAGGAUUAACACCGCAUAACAUCACGAGACGGCAUCGCCUUGUGAUCAAACCUCCGGGGGUUAAAGAUGGGCAUGCGUCCGAUUAGCUAGUUGGCGGGGUAACGGCCCACCAAGGCGACGAUCGGUAGGGGGUCUGAGAGGAUGAUCCCCCACACUGGUACUGAGACACGGACCAGACUCCUACGGGAGGCAGCAGUAAGGAAUAUUGGACAAUGGUCGCAAGACUGAUCCAGCCAUGCCGCGUGCAGGAUGAACGAUCUAUGAUCUGUAAACUGCUUUUGUUCGGGAAUAAACCCCUUCACGUGUGGAGGGCUGAAUGUACCGAAAGAAUAAGGGUCGGCUAACUUCGUGCCAGCAGCC
rnacentral:rRNA from 1 species